rnacentral:lncRNA from 1 species
UUUAAUAGCCAGGAUAAAGGCUAACCUCAAAGUGUAGAAAAGAGCAACAAGGGAUUGCCUUUCCUCCUGAUUUGUUUGAUUAACAUUUCUUGCAGAUGAAGGGACAAUCCACAUGUGUUCCUCUGCAGAAAUCAGUUUAGUGACAUGGCCUUUCCCUUCUUCUGUGAAGGGGAUAGAAACCAAGGGCAUGAUUCUUCUUGUAAUGGAAAGUGGAUCCAGAAAGGAGAAGAAGAAGAGAAGAGACAGAAACUAUGUGACCACCUUCAGUGUGGAGAUCCAGUCCCCCCAGAGU